AUGUUCAAACGUGUUACGCAAGUCAGUCUGCUUAGCCUUGUCCUUAUCUAGCUUGUGUGUGGAGUGGGGAAAUGGCACGCUGGGAAAGGUCUCUUCCCUUUACGAAACUCCCUCGCUUGUAAUAGAAAACAGUCAAGAAGCUGGAAAAAUUCUAACACUCCUGCUGAAGAACAAAAAAGGGAGAUGAAAGAAAGUGGGGAUUUGAGAAAGAGACAGCUUGAAUUUGGAGCUCAGAAAAUGAGAAGCACUUCGUUAGAGCCUCCAGUUCGAUACAAGAAACUCGCUACUCUGUAAAUCCCUGAUAAAGACAGAAAUAGAAGUGGUGUGUACUCAACAGGAUGCAUUUGCGGUGGCCUCCCAACAUCCCCUAUCCCUCCCUUCCCCCGAGGCUGCCGCUGGCUUUUGGUGGGGCCUGGGUGCCAGAAGAGGGAGCACGGAACACAGCAGAGCCCCAGCCUGAAUGUCCCUGCUGCUGCCUCAGGCAGGAGGAACUCUGCAAGGACCAACCUGCAGCAUUGCUGAUGCCGCAGGUUUUUCAGAAAACCCAGCUUCUAGUUCUUAAUAUAUUUUUCAUUAUUACUAUUUUUUGCUGUGCAUGUGCAGCUUGAGAUUUAAGAGCUUUUAGCUUUAUCACAUUGUUCAAUAGGAAAACUGCCCAAAAGGCAUAUCUCUGAUUCAAAGACUACUCUCCCACUAAAUUUCAAAUUUUCUCUUCAAAGUAAAGGCCUUUUCAGGUACAUUAAGAGAUUUUUUUCUGUACUUGAGUAAACAUGGGAGUUUUUUUCCUUCCUCAGUUUCACACUUGGAUUUUUGUUAAAAAGUUAUUUUGAAAACAUCAGCUUGAGGCAGACACGUGGCCUGGAAAACUUAAACUCAGGUAGUAUUAAAGUCAAAAAAACAGCCUAUCUUCAAUUGUUUCGUCUGAUAGCAUGUCUUAGAAUCUGAAGCUCUAUUGAAUUUCAACCCUGAAAACAUAUCCUAGUAGCUGUUUGGCUAUGUUUGCAUUUAUAGUCAUUAUAUGCAAUGUGAUUGCAAAAUACCUGUACUGGGCUCAAAUACAGUAAGUCAGCUAUCCUUUAAUAUACUUAGCUCAUUCCAAUAUAAUGCUUAUUAUUCAGAAUAACACUGUCCAGUACAGAGACAUUACAUGAGAGGAAGGUAGGAAGUCCUGUACUUCUAAUCUAAGUAGUAAAAAAUAUUCUUUGCAGUGGUAAUUCUUGGUUCUGGCUUCCUCCAAUGGGUUUAGGUCUCUGGGUAGCUGAAGCAGUUAUGUUAGGUACACGGACUGAGUCUUUGGCAGUAUUCAGACUGUAUCCCUUUACUGUACAGAGCUGUGAUCACCACAUCCAGUUCUAACUUGUUACAGGACCACAGUUAAAGAAUGGAACAGUUUUGUUAACUAGCCAAAUGGCAUGGGAGAAUUCCCAGAAUUCUUAGAAUUCCCAGAAUUCCCAGGUUACUUAGUUUGCUAAUCUCUGCUCGAGAGGUUCUGGUGGCCUCAUUGCUAGCAAAGGCUUAGCCUUGAACAACUGAGAUUUUGGGUAAAUCCCUGAUGCUGAAAACAUGCAGGAUAUGAUUCAAGGAGCGCCCCACACAAGUUUCUCUUGGGGACAGUGCUGAGAACAAGAAGAGUUCAGGAGCUUGGACAGCAGAAUUCCAGACUUGGAAAGUUAUGUAGACAUCAUUAAAUUCAGAAUUCUAUGACCACAUUAAAUAGCAGAAGCUGUGAACUGACAAACUCUUCAUUGCAGAAUCCAUAUGGGGCCAUUCUCUUAAAGUGUCUUCCCCCAAGGAAGCAGCUCUAAUCCUCACUAUGUCAAGACUUCUUGGACACACGAAAUUAUGAAGGAAUCUCAUUGGCAGGUGAAAUAUGGCAACAAGGAGUCAUAUCCAGUACUGUUGCACCUGGUAAAAGCCUACAUGAAGUGACUGCAAACAUGCCAGCAUUGGCAUUGGUGAGUCUUGGUGUUCUGUGUGUUCCUUGGACACUGGUGAGUGGAUAGGACUCAAUAUGAGUAGGGCUGCUCUGCUCAUCUCCAGAGAUAGCACCAACAACCUGAGAAUGUCCCCUUAGUCUCUUUGUCCACUCCUAGCCUCAGUAGAGGUGAUGAAGGUAUCACUUGUCACAAGAGGCCUCGGCACCACAUUUCUAACCUCCUUAUCACUUUUUCCUUGGGAUAUGUUACUAGCCCUUUGCAUCAGAGCCACAGUAUUCCUCAGCACUAUAGCUGUAAUAAAGGAACCUUCUCCCCAAGAUUCCCUGUGGCAGGCGAUAAGGAUAUUCAGUUUCUGGAAGUGAAGUGAGAUCUCUGCUGUCAAAACAGUGAAAGUGCAACUCCUUGUUCUAUGGAACACCAGGUUUCAAAUAUGUCAGCACUUGAAACAUGGAUUAAGUGAAGAAAAUUCAAUGACAAUUUCCUGACAUAGGUGAUUGGUGAGGUAACUAGAGGAGAUGCCCUGGCUGGACUUAUUAGUCAUGAACAAUCUGUCUGAGGGUGUAGAGGUUGAAGGCAGCUUUGGCUGCAGCUCUGAGUUUGUAUCGUUUAAAAUCCUGAGAUAAACAAGAAAACUAAUAAAAUUGCCAGUCUUGACUUCCAAAGGGCAAAUUUCAGCUUGUUUGGGAAUCUGCUGUACAGGAUCACAUGAGAGGCAGUCAGUUGCCCUGGCACAGCUAGUUGAACUUUAAGAACAACCUUCUCAAAACACAGAACUGAUUCCUUCCAAGUCAAGAAAGGUAAGCAAAGGUGCAAGGCUAGUAUGAGAACACUCUAGACUGACUUCAACUACAAAAUCUAGCCAAUGGCAGCGUGAGUGUGCUACCCAACCAUUUCACUGUGGUGAGUGGAGAGGUCCAUGAUGGAUGGAAGAGGCAAAUGUCAUACCCAUCUUCAAGAAGGCUGAGAAAGAGGACCCAGGGAACUACAAGCUAAGAACUCUAACCUCAGUCUCCUGGAAGAUUUUUCCUCCUGGAAACCAUUUCUGAGCUCAUGAAUUGCAAGAAGGUGAUUAAAAAUAGGCAGCAUGAAUUUACCAUGGGCAAAUUGCCAUUGAUGAACCUGAUUGAUUGAUCAUUGUGAGGUGGACUAAUUCCAUGAAUGAGGGAAGAGUAAUGAAUGUUGUUUACCUUGGCUUUAGCAGAGCUUUUCCCAAGGUCUUUGAUAGUAUCCUACCAGUCAAAACAUGGACAGGAUAAGCAGAUUAUAAAAUGGAUGGAAAACUGGUUGAAAUUCUAGGCCAGACAGGUUGUGACUGGCAGUAUAAAGUCCAUCCCACUACUGGUUGCUAGUGGCAGUCCUCCUCAGGAACAGAUUCUGAGGUAAAUGCAGUUUGGUGUCUUCACUGCUAAUGAUCUGAUCUAAUGGGAGAGCUUGCACUAUGAGCAGAUUCAUGGAUCAUACCAGCCUUCAGGGAAGGAGUUGAUAUGCCAGAGGGCAGGGCUGUUGCUUAGAGGGACCAAGACAUUGUAUUUCCAGGAGUCUCACCAAGCUCAGCAAAGACAGUUAAGAAGUCUUACACAUGUUGGAGAUGAUAUGAUUGAAGAGCAGCUUUGUAGAAAGGGACCUGUGGUACUGGUGGACACAAUGAGUAUGAGUUGGCAGUUGGGGCAAACAUGAACAGCCUCAUCCCACAUUGUAUUAGCAAGCUGUAGCCAGCAGGUCUAGGGAAGUAAUUGUUCCCUCUCUCUGGUGCUUGUGAGACUGCUUCUGGAGUACUGUUUCUGCUGCCCAGCACAAGAGACGGACACAUGGUUUUGAAUGCAGCAGAGUCACUAAGACCACACAGGCUGAAGUACGUGUGUAUGAGCCGAGUGUGAUAGCGUGAAUAUAGGAAAGAGAUCCAAACUCUUCUUGGAAAUGUAUGGUGACAGGGGAAGAGCUAAUGGACGCAAGUUGCAAUACAGGAAAUUCUGCCUGUAAGGAAAAACAUUUUCAUUGUCAAUAUAAUCAAAUGCUGGAAUGGACCACCAGUCAAUACUGUGGAAUCUCAGACCUUGAAGAAAUUCAAAAGCUGACUAAACAAGAUGCUUUAAUUGGAGAUGCUUUGAAUGAGGAGUUGAACUAGCAGACCUCCAGGGAUCACUUUCAACCCAUCCAUCAGAGAAGAGGAGCAAAGACCAGUAAAUGGCAAUAAUUCGCCACUGCAGACCUGCUCGAACCCUUAUUGUCACAGAGCUUUAGUGCCAAAGAUGAGGCACCUACACAUUUCUACACUGAAAGAUGGCAGCUGCAUUUUCAUUUGAGAACUGCAAGUUUCAAUGAAGAAUCCUAAGACCUGAAUAUCUUUUUGAAUCUGGUUCUCAACAGUCAACUGAAAAAAGAAUGGAUCUGUUUUCAAAGAGUGCAGGUUUCUCUCCUGAAGACAUGAAAGACAUAAGAGGAUGAUUGACCAGGAUUGCUUUGAGGGAUGUUUUCUUUCCUGUAGUCCUAAGAUGAGAUUGGAGGUUGUAGGAAGUGGCAGAUGUUUUGGAGUGGCCCUAUUGUUUACAGGACUUUAAAUUGUUUUCUUUCGUGAGUUUCCUAUCUGCUAAUAGUGAAUGCAUACUUGUAGCUAGUGUACAUGAUUGCAUUUGGCACCUUUUUGGAGUUAGAUGGUAGUUGUUUUCUAACUGGUGCUAAUUUCCAUUUUCAGACACUCUGCUUAACUUCAGCAUUAGCAAAAUUAUAUGAGAAAGUGAUGUUGCUGCACUCUGUGUUGUGCAGGGCUGUAAAUGUCGGUAUGCAUUACAGGAAUAAUUGUAUAGAAUAAAAAGCUAAUAUACAUUAGUGUUUUGUUAAAAAGUAUGCACAUUGUAUACAUAGUGCUUGGGAAAAAAGUAGUUUUCUCUUCAUGACUGAUCAAAUUCUAUACAUUUUAUAAGAAAACUUUUUGUGUCACUAAAAAAUAAUAAACAUUAUACAUAUUUAAUGGAAUAUAUGAUUUUUCCUUCUAGUGUAAUCGUUCACCAUUUCGUAGCAGCUUCCACAGGUACAGGUAACAGGACAAAUACAAGUGAGAGGAUAAUCAUAAUCCUUACCUCUUAAGAAAAAAAAUCCUCCUUAUUUUUAACUUUUGGUAACUUGAAAAUAUUUCUUGUAUUUUGUCUUAAAUACAGCAUCUCAUAAUUUGUUUGAUAAUGCCUCUCUUUCUAUGGUAAAACAGUUAGAAUAUAGACCUUCUUCCUUUCCUCAGUGGUAUGUCAACAAAUCAACAUGCUGGCUUAUAUUUUAAUAGAGUUAUGGGGAAGGGGAAAUGAGAUUUUCCAAAUGGGGAAGGAAAAAGUAUUUAUCAAAUUUCAACCCUUGGAUUAAAUUAUAUCAUGCUCUGUAAGAAAAAUUAUGUGGCUCUUCAGUUUUGUUUUAGAAGAGGUUCUGUGAUCCAAAAACCAUGCCAUAUUCAGUGCAUAUACUAAAAGCAUCACUCACAUGCUGGUCACAAGAAUAUGGUUCUAUAAAAAAAAAGUUGUCACUUAUAAGUCUUUUUCCCUGUAGUACAGAAAAUGAUUUCUAUUUGAAUAGCUUUGAAAUUUCAAGAUCGGAAUGUUUUUAUAAGCAAUAGUUUAAAGCCUGUGAUAUAAUCUGAAAACUAUCAAACAUACGAUCUUCCUAAUGUGCCAGGACUUUGAUUACAUAAAAAUAUUUUGUUGAUUCUUAGUGAAUAUUCAUGAAUGGUGUAUAUAUGGUUGGUAUGCAUAUGCAUAGUAUAAGACAAUAUUGUAAAAAAUACAUCUUUAUACUUAUGGAAGAUUUAAAAAACAAAUCAUUCCUUUCUACCUCUUUUUUCCCCCUCAUUUUUAAUUAAUGCCUACUUAGUGACUAUCUAUACUAUCUCAGUAUAAUUUCUGCUGUGAUGAUGUCUCUGUAGAAUCAUUGAUAUUUCCUUUAAAAGGAGAAUUGGAAGAUAGUCUAUAUUAGCUACUAGUUUACUUGAUCGUGUCCUGGAAUAUCCCCAGCCUUCAGGCAAACUCAUUGAAUUUCUCUCCUGUUUUAGAGUGUGUAGAGGCAGCUCAUAGGUUUAAAGUCAUGGUCAAUGGGGAUCUAGUCAAAAUAGUCAAUAUUAUCCAUAAAGUGAGUCAACUCAUUUUAAAGCAGGCAUCUACUUUUAGUCAGAUGAAUCACUCUCUAAACUUCAUUGAUGUAGAUAUGUCAAGGUGGAUGAGAUGGAUCCCACCCUCACAUUCCCUUGAUAUUUCUCCUCACUUGUUUGAGAGUGAAUUGAGGCACUUAAAAAGAAUUUUGCAGUGCAGUUUGCAUUGCAUUUGCAACUGGGACAACAACUCUCAGCCUUGCUGAGUUUACUGUAAGUUACCAGCUUGCUAAUGCCAGCUGUGUAUGGGGGCUCUACUGGGUAUGAACUGGUCAUGGUCAAUACGUGAGUCAGUGGUGAAUUCAGCAUUUAAAUGCAAUAAGUGCCUUCGGUGUUCUUACUGAAAAAUGGCUCUAACAAGAGCCAUAUUUAUACUUUAGCAAGCUUGCUUUUCAAAUAGCUCCAGAACUUUUAGAUUAAGUUGGCUGACAGAUUCUAAACAAUUUUCCAAAUGUUGUACCAAAUCCAUAUCAGGUACAAAUUUUGACUGCAUGUCAUUAUAUAAUGCAUGCUAAGUUCCGUCCAUGAGUUUUUUUACUGGCAUGUGAACAGAAGAACAACCUCAUCUUCUUAUUCUGGACCUUGUACCACUAUGCUCCAUCUCAGGAACAGAGAGGAACUUGAAAAGAUUGGGCUGAAGCUGCAAACAUGCUUUAGAUAAAGGAGAGAGAGGAAAAACAGGUCUGAUGAAUCAAUAGGUACAGGAAAGGGGAAAAUGACCCCGAACUUCUAAGCCAUGUUGUUUUCUCCAAACGUUGUGCCAUUUUCUAUCUCUGUCCCUUAUAUCAGUUGGGGUGUUUGUUGGGCAUUAGCCCAAUUCCAUGUUUUCCUUAGCAUGUUGUUGACAGGUAGGUGAAAAUGACAAAAGAGUGGAUGGCCCAAAGCAGUGAUGAGCAGUUGUAGGUCCUUAUAGCAACCAGUAGCACCAUGUUUUGGCACAGAUGGAGUGGCCCUUGAAGGCUUUAUAUUGUAUUGCAGAUGAAGAUUAGAGAAUAAAUUAGCAGAGGCAUUAAAUGUAAUGAAAUGAUAUCCUGUUUUGUUGU